CCUACGGGUGGCAGCAGUGGGGAAUAUUGCACAAUGGGGGAAACCCUGACGCAGCGACGCCGCGUGAGGGAUGAAGGUCUUCGGAUCGUAAACCUCUGUCAGCAGGGAAGAACGGUCACAGGGCUAAGCAGCAGUGAAUUGACGGUACCGGCAAAGGAAGCACCGGCUAACUCCGUGCCCGCAGCCGCGGUAAUACGGAGGGUGCGAGCGUUAAUCGGAAUGACUGGGCGUAAAGCGCUCGUAGGCGGUAUGUCAAGUCAAGGGUGAAAUCCCCGCGCUCAACGUGGGAACUGCCUUUGAAACUGGCAAACUGGAGUGUGUGUGAGGCUAGUGGCAUUCCCGGUGUAGGCG
rnacentral:rRNA from 1 species